rnacentral:rRNA from 1 species
UAUACGAUGAAGAGUUUGAUCCUGGCUCAGGAUGAACGCUAGCGGCAGGCUUAACACAUGCAAGUCGAGGGGUAUAGUAGCAAUACUAGA